rnacentral:rRNA from 1 species
GGAUUAAGUGGCUAAAGCUCGUAGUUGGAUAUCUGGAUUGAGUUUGUUCGUGGUUUCCACAGCAAUUCAGUUCAUCCUUCUGUUAAAGCACCUUGUACUUGUACCGGGUGUCAGCUCAGAUAUUUUACCUUGAGAAAAUUAGAGUGUUUCAGGCAGGCAAGGCCGGAAUACAACAGCAUGGGAAUAAUAGAAUUGACAUGACUCUGUGGUUGGCCAGAGAAGUGAAAUGAUUAAAAGAAAUGGUGGGGGGGCGUUUUGUAUUUAUUUGGCAGGAGAGAAAAGGCGCGGGUUUGGGGAAAGACUACCUUAAGGGUUAC